AAGUGGGUGGGUUUUCUGGGUGUGCCGCCAAAGUUAUGUGAAAGAAAAGUGCUCCUGCUCCUCCUGCUCCCCCUCCUCCACUGCGAACUCCACACCCCAAAGUCCAGUGUUCUCUCUGCCGAAUUCAAAUGUCACACAAGGAUCGAAAGGCCUUUCUUUCGUUAUCACGAAUCGCCUUUAUAAGCGAAACACCUGAGCUCGCCCAACUUCGACGCCCCAAAGGACUACUCAAAAAGUCAUUACUUUAAUCGAAUUCGCAUUUCCCGAAAUGAACGUUGGCCGCAGGACUCAACUGCAACGCCUCCCGCGAGCCCCGUAAGGAUAACAACGAAUUUCUCAUAAACUUCUGAUGGCGAAGGGUGCGAGGGUCAGUGCAGAAUGUCCGCCAAACAUGCAAUUAAGUCGUUAAUACUUCAUCGAUUUAAUACACGCGGACAGGAGCAGGAUGGCCAGGAUAUCCAAGCGAUACAGGCGAUACAGGAUACCGCGGACGCAGCGAGGAUUAAAGCAUUAGCAAAUCGAGGAUGAGCUGUCCUUUCCAAAAAGGGAAAGGGAAAAACGGAAGCGGAAGUGGCGAUAGACGCAGGACGAUGGCAGACAUUUGAUUAGUUUGUUUGGCCUGCCAAUUUCCCUCGCUCGCUUUUAUUUCUUUUAGGAGAUAUGCAAUUACGAUAUACAAGUUAAACAAACCAAGGGAUAUUCGUCGAUGCCUAUGCGAUGCCCAGCGAUAUGAGUUCAACAUUUGAACAUUUGAUUAAAAACGCAAAUAGAUUUUGAAGCUCACCCCUUCCCCUUCCCCUUCUCCAUAAUCCUCUAUGUGCAUAAAAAAUUAACCAACAACGAUGCUCAGCGCUAAAAAGGAAAGAAUAAACUGAGGGAAACUGAAAAGCGCGGACAUUUUUUAGGCAAAUACGGAGGACCAGCAGCAAUUCAUCAGAGGAACGACGCUUUUUUGUAUCAUCCGUGGGCUCAACUCAUCUCCCACCUGUAAUAAAAAUCAUAACCGGGAGGCGUGGCACCAGACACCGACGCACAUAUUGAACUAACGACCAGGUGGGCGGCGGGUGGUUGCGAUACUAAAGGAAAAACAGUGGAGGGGGUGGAGUAAAAGGGGAGGCCAUCGCCCGCAUGUCUGUGUAAAAAGGUAAAAACCAAUCAAGAGCAUCAAUAAAAGGCACGUCAAUCAGCGUGUGGCAAGGCAAGGUAGGCUCCAGCCAUUUUCCUCCUGCUCGGAAAAACUGCUGCUCAACAAGCACGAAAAAAUCAUAUUUCCUGGUCCUCCUCCUGGUCCGGGUCCUGGUCCUCCUCCUGGUCCUGGCCAACAUGCCUCCUUGUGUGUGUUUUGGCCUUUUGUCUAGCAUUGGCAACGCGGUUUUAGUUCAGUCAAGCUGUCAUAUCGACGCUUUUGCAUGCCAGACGAUGCCAACCGAGCCUCAGCCUCAGACUCGAAAACUGGAAAACUCGGAAUCAAACUCAAACUCGAGCGUCAAAAUUCCGGACCCGGUUUCUGGCCAGACUCGCUGGCUAUCGGCCACAAAAUCCUGCUCCCUCCUUUGGAACCCUUCCUGCGGUUA